CUAGCUACAGGCUUAACACAUGCAAGUCGAGGGGCAUCAGGAAGAAAGCUUGCUUUCUUUGCUGGCGACCGGCGCACGGGUGAGUAACACGUAUCCAACCUGCCCUUUACUCGGGGAUAGCCUUUCGAAAGAAAGAUUAAUACCCGAUAGCAUAAUGAUUCCGCAUGGUUUCAUUAUUAAAGGAUUCCGGUAAAGGAUGGGGAUGCGUUCCAUUAGGUUGUUGGUGAGGUAACGGCCCACCAAGCCUUCGAUGGAUAGGGGUUCUGAGAGGAAGGUCCCCCACAUUGGAACUGAGACACGGUCCAAACUCCUACGGGAGGCAGCAGUGAGGAAUAUUGGUCAAUGGGCGCUAGCCUGAACCAGCCAAGUAGCGUGAAGGAUGAAGGCUCUAUGGGUCGUAAACUUCUUUUAUAUAAGAAUAAAGUGCAGUAUGUAUACUGUUUUGUAUGUAUUAUAUGAAUAAGGAUCGGCUAACUCCGUGCCAGCAGCCGCGGUAAUACGGAGGAUCCGAGCGUUAUCCGGAUUUAUUGGGUUUAAAGGGAGCGUAGGUGGACUGGUAAGUCAGUUGUGAAAGUUUGCGGCUCAACCGUAAAAUUGCAGUUGAUACUGUCAGUCUUGAGUACAGUAGAGGUGGGCGGAAUUCGUGGUGUAGCGGUGAAAUGCUUAGAUAUCACGAAGAACUCCGAUUGCGAAGGCAGCUCACUGGACUGCAACUGACACUGAUGCUCGAAAGUGUGGGUAUCAAACAGGAUUAGAUACCCUGGUAGUCCACACAGUAAACGAUGAAUACUCGCUGUUUGCGAUAUACAGUAAGCGGCCAAGCGAAAGCAUUAAGUAUUCCACCUGGGGAGUACGCCGGCAACGGUGAAACUCAAAGGAAUUGACGGGGGCCCGCACAAGCGGAGGAACAUGUGGUUUAAUUCGAUGAUACGCGAGGAACCUUACCCGGGCUUAAAUUGCAGUGGAAUGAUGUGGAAACAUGUCAGUGAGCAAUCACCGCUGUGAAGGUGCUGCAUGGUUGUCGUCAGCUCGUGCCGUGAGGUGUCGACUUAAGUGCCAUAACGAGCGCAACCCUUAUCUUUAGUUACUAACAGGUUAUGCUGAGGACUCUAGAGAGACUGCCGUCGUAAGAUGUGAGGAAGGUGGGGAUGACGUCAAAUCAGCACGGCCCUUACGUCCGGGGCUACACACGUGUUACAAUGGGGGGUACAGAAGGCAGCUAGCGGGUGACCGUAUGCUAAUCCCAAAAUCCUCUCUCAGUUCGGAUCGAAGUCUGCAACCCGACUUCGUGAAGCUGGAUUCGCUAGUAAUCGCGCAUCAGCCACGGCGCGGUGAAUACGUUCCCGGGCCUUGUACACACCGCCCGUCAAGCCAUGGGAGCCGGGGGUACCUGAAGUACGUAACCACAAGGAUCGUCCUAGGGUAAAACUGGUGACUGGGGCUAA
rnacentral:rRNA from 1 species